GUGUCUGGUCUAAAACACAGAGGCCAGGCAUGAUGGCAUGUGCCUGUAGUCCCAACACUGAGGAGGCUGAGGCAGGAGGA
rnacentral:miRNA from 1 species